GAGUUUGAUCUUGGCUCAGGACGAACGCUGGCGGUGUGCUUCACACAUGCAAGUCGAACGGGGUAGCAAUACCCAGUGGCGGACGGGUGAGUAACACGUGGGAAUCUACCAUAAGGUGGGGAAUAACAGGCCGAAAGGUCUGCUAAUGCCGCAUAUGUAGGCAUCUCGACAGAGGUGUUUAUGAAAGGAGUAAUCCGCCUUUUGAUGAGCCCGCGUCCGAUUAGCUAGUUGGUAGGGUAAAAGCCUACCAAGGCGACGAUCGGUAGGUGGUCUGAGAGGAUGAUCACCCACAAUGGGACUGAGACACGGCCCAUACUCCUACGGGAGGCAGCAGUGGGGAAUUUUACGCAAUGGGGGAAACCCUGACGUAGCGACACCGCGUGAGCGAAGAAGCCCUUUGGGGUGUAAAGCUCUGUCAACAGGAACGAAAUCAAUGACGGUACCUGUGGAGGAAGCAUCGGCUAACUACGUGCCAGCCGCCGCAGUAAU
rnacentral:rRNA from 1 species